rnacentral:rRNA from 1 species
UACGAAGGGGGCUAGCGUUGCUCGGAAUCACUGGGCGUAAAGGGUGCGUAGGCGGGUCUUUAAGUCAGGGGUGAAAUCCUGGAGCUCAACUCCAGAACUGCCUUUGAUACUGAGGAUCUUGAGUUCGGGAGAGUGAGUGGAACUGCGAGUGUAGAGGUGAAAUUCGUAGAUAUUCGCAAGAACACCAGUGGCGAAGGCGGCUCACUGGACCGGUAUUGACGCUGAGGUGCGAAAGCGUGGGGAGCAAACAGG